GCUUGGGUGGCUUAGCUGCUUAAGCGUCUGACUUCAGCUCAGGUCAUGAUCUCACGGUUCGUGGGUUCAAGCCCCGCAUCAGGCU
rnacentral:tRNA from 1 species